AGAGUUUGAUCCUGGCUCAGGAUGAACGCUGGCGGCGUGCCUAACACAUGCAAGUCGAGCGAGAAACAGCGGACGGAUCUUUUCGGAGAGAAGGAAGUUGUGGAAAGCGGCAGACGGGUGAGUAACGCGUGGGCAACCUACCCUGUACAGAGGAAUAGCCACUGGAAACGGUGAUUAAUGCCUCAUGAAACCGAGGCACCGCAUGGUGCCACAGUCAAAGAUUUAUCGGUAUGGGAUGGGCCCGCGUCUGAUUAGCUGGUUGGUAGGGUAAUGGCCUACCAAGGCGACGAUCAGUAGCCGGCCUGAGAGGGUGAACGGCCACACUGGAACUGAGACACGGUCCAGACUCCUACGGGAGGCAGCAGUGGGGAAUAUUGCACAAUGGGGGAAACCCUGAUGCAGCGACGCCGCGUGAGCGAAGAAGGUUUUCGGAUCGUAAAGCUCUGUCCUUGGGGAAGAAAAUGACGGUACCCAAGGAGGAAGCCCCGGCUAACUACGUGCCAGCAGCCGCGGUAAUACGUAGGGGGCGAGCGUUGUCCGGAAUUACUGGGCGUAAAGGGUACGUAGGCGGUUAAUUAAGUCAGGUGUAAAAGGCAUAGGCUCAACCUGUGUAAGCAUCUGAAACUGGAUAACUUGAGUAUAGGAGAGGUAAGUGGAAUUCCUAGUGUAGCGGUGAAAUGCGUA
rnacentral:rRNA from 1 species